rnacentral:rRNA from 1 species
GACGAACGCUGGCGGCGUGCUUAACACAUGCAAGUCGAACGGAAAGGCCCUGCUUUUGUGGGGUGCUCGAGUGGCGAACGGGUGAGUAACACGUGAGUAACCUGCCCUUGACUUUGGGAUAACUUCAGGAAACUGGGGCUAAUACCGGAUAGGAGCUCCUGCCGCAUGGUGGGGGUUGGAAAGUUUCGGCGGUCGGGGAUGGACUCGCGGCUUAUCAGCUUGUUGGUGGGGUAGUGGCUUACCAAGGCUUUGACGGGUAGCCGGCCUGAGAGGGUGACCGGCCACAUUGGGACUGAGAUACGGCCCAGACUCCUACGGGAGGCAGCAGUGGGGAAUAUUGCACAAUGGGCGGAAGCCUGAUGCAGCAACGCCGCGUGCGGGAUGACGGCCUUCGGGUUGUAAACCGCUUUCGCCUGUGACGAAGCGUGAGUGACGGUAAUGGGUAAAGAAGCACCGGCUAACUACGUG